UGGGGAAUCUUGGACAAUGGGGGCAACCCUGAUCCAGCCAUGCCGCGUGAGUGAUGAAGGCCUUAGGGUCGUAAAGCUCUUUCGCCUGUGAAGAUAAUGACGGUAGCAGGUAAAGAAACCCCGGCUAACUCCGUGCCAGCAGCCGCGGUAAUACGGAGGGGGUUAGCGUUGUUCGGAAUUACUGGGCGUAAAGCGCACGUAGGCGGACCAGAAAGUUGGGGGUGAAAUCCCGGGGGCUCAACCCCGGAACUGCCUCCAAAACUAUUGGUCUAGAGUUCGAGAGAGGUGAGUGGAAUUCCAAGUGUAGAGGUGAAAUUCGUAGAUAUUUGGAGGAACACCAGUGGCGAAGGCGGCUCACUGGCUCGAUACUGACGCUGAGGUGCGAAAGUGUGGGGAGCAAACAGGAUUAGAUACCCUGGUAGUCCACACCGUAAAACGAUGAAUGCCAGUCGUCGGGUAGCAUGCUAUUCGGUGACACACCUAACGGAUUAAGCAUUCCGCCUGGGGAGUACGGUCGCAAGAUUAAAACUCAAAUGAAUUGA
rnacentral:rRNA from 1 species